GUGACUCGAGUUAAAUAUUAUAUUUUUAAGAUACAAAAUUUAAUUUAAUCGUAAAGUUGGAGUGUGUGUGACUGUGUCUCUAGGACUAAACUGAGAUGAAUACCAAAAUUUUGUGUCUUAUUGUUUUAUUUCUGUCUUUAACUAAGGCAGAUGAAGACGAGGAACCAAAUCUGAAAAUGGACGAUAUUAUCGAAGCGUUGGAACCUUUUACUUCUAGUUGUGAACCGAAACCUAAAAAAGAACACAUAAAGGAAAUGUUACAAAUGAAAAAAAAUCCCCAACGGGAGACGAAAUGUUUGCGUUAUUGUUUAAUGAAACAAUUUGAUAUGAUGAACGAAAGUGAAACUGAAAUUGUGAUCGAUAAAGCUGUGGAAUUAAUGAGCAUGGGAAUACAAAAUAAAUUAGGGGAAAAAGAAUUAAAGGAAUCAGCUGGAACAUGUGCAGUAAAGGCCAAAAAAAUUACUGAUAAAUGUGAGUUGGGAUAUGUUUUCAGUAUGUGCGUUGUAGAGGAGCUUGAGAAACGAGGUUUCAAAAUGCCACAGAUCAAGGAGUAAAUCCAAAUUUCUGUUACUUCAAAAAGACUAGUAUACUAGUAACUUUUUAAUUUGUUUUUCAUUUUAUUUGUUGCUCUUUGAAAAAUGCUCC